CCUACGGGAGGCUGCAGUGAGGAAUAUUGGUCAAUGGGCGGAAGCCUGAACCAGCCAAGUAGCGUGCAGGAUGACGGCCCUACGGGUUGUAAACUGCUGUUAUACGGGAAUAAAGCGCCGUACGUGUAGGGCUUUGCAUGUACCGUAUGAAUAAGGACCGGCUAAUUCCGUGCCAGCAGCCGCGGUAAUACGGAAGGUCCGGGCGUUAUCCGGAUUUAUUGGGUUUAAAGGGAGCGUAGGCCGCAUGUCAAGCGGGCUGUGAAAUGUCCGGGCUCCACCCGGGCCUUGCAGCGCGACCUGGCGUGCUUGAGUCCGCGUCCAGCAGGCGCACUUCGUCGUGUAGCGGU
rnacentral:rRNA from 1 species